GACGAACGCUGGCGGCGUGCUUAACGCAUGCAAGUCGAACGGAAAGGCCCUGCUUUUGUGGGGUGCUCGAGUGGCGAACGGGUGAGUAACACGUGAGUAACCUGCCCUUGACUUUGGGAUAACUUCAGGAAACUGGGGCUAAUACCGGAUAGGAGCUCCUGCUGCAUGGUGGGGGUUGGAAAGUUUCGGCGGUUGGGGACGGACUCGCGGCUUAUCAGCUUGUUGGUGGGGUAGUGGCUUACCAAGGCUUUGACGGGUAGCCGGCCUGAGAGGGUGACCGGCCACAUUGGGACUGAGAUACGGCCCAGACUCCUACGGGAGGCAGCAGUGGGGAAUAUUGCACAAUGGGCGGAAGCAUGAUGCAGCAACGCCGCGUGCGGGAUGACGGCCUUCGGGGUGUAAACCGCUUUCGCCUGUGACGAAGCGUGAGUGACGGUAAUGGGUAAAGAAGCACCGGCUAACUACGUG
rnacentral:rRNA from 1 species